rnacentral:sRNA from 1 species
UGGCCAUUUUUAUUUUCAUGAUGUGUCUGUCGACGUGAGGGAAGCCCUUUAGUUCGUCCGCUGGAUGCGCAUCAGGAUGACAAAUGCAAAAUCUAUGCCAUACAGGGUACACUAAUUGCCGCCUUCAAAUUCGAUGUGGACAAUUUACGACCUUAAAAUGACGGCGUUGUCCGUGAUAUGAUUUCUCCUUGCGAGGAUACGCUGAAUUUAUAUCUAAAUAUAGGGAAGCCAAAGCUGCUGUCCCUUUCCAGAGAGAUAUCACCAAGAUCUCCCUUGAAAACGCAGUGGAUACUUUGUGGUUGAAUGUCCUGAACGUGUACUUUUAUCGAAACGGUUUAUACCCUAGUUACCAAUCUCGGGAGACAGUAGCAUUCGGG